AUUGAACGCUGGCGGCGUGCUUAACACAUGCAAGUCGAGCGGGGACUUCGGUCCUAGCGGCGAACGGGUGAGGAAUGCUUGGGAAUCUGCCCAGUAGCGGGGGAUAACGUUUCGAAGGGAACGCUAAUACCGCAUACGCCCUACGGGGGAAAGGGGGGGAUCUUCGGACCUCUCACUAUUGGAUGAGCCCAAGUCGGAUUAGCUAGUUGGUGGGGUAAAGGCCUACCAAGGCGACGAUCUGUAGCUGGUCUGAGAGGAUGAUCAGCCACACUGGAACUGAGACACGGUCCAGACUCCUACGGGAGGCAGCAGUGGGGAAUAUUGGACAAUGGGCGAAAGCCUGAUCCAGCCAUGCCGCGUGUGUGAAGAAGGCCUUCGGGUUGUAAAGCACUUUAAGCGAGGAGGAAUGGCUGAGGGUUAAUAACCUUCAGCAGUGACGUUACUCGCAGAAUAAGCACCGGCUAACUCUGUGCCAGCCGCCGCAGUAAAAC
rnacentral:rRNA from 1 species